rnacentral:rRNA from 1 species
GACAGAGGGUGCAAACGUUGUUCGGAAUUACUGGGCGUAAAGCGCGUGUAGGUGGCGAGGCAAGUCGGGUGUGAAAGCCCUGGGCUCUACCCAGGAAGUGCACUCGAUACUGCCUAGCUAGAGUCCCGGAGAGGUUGGUGGAACUCUCGGUGUAGAGGUGAAAUUCGUAGAUAUCGAGAAGAACACCGGUGGCGAAGGCGGCCAACUGGACGGUGACUGACACUGAGACGCGAAAGCGUGGGGAGCAAACAGG